rnacentral:rRNA from 1 species
GAUGAACGCUGGCGGCGUGCCUAAUACAUGCAAGUCGAACGGACAGACGCUGCUUUUGUUCGGUUCUCGAUUGGCGAACGGGUGUGUAACACGUGUGUAUCCUCUCCCUGACUUUCUGGGAACAUUACGGAAAUCCGGCUCUUAUACCAUAGGAUCUCCUGCUGCGUGGUGUGGGAUGGAGAAUUUCGGCGGUUGUGGAUGGACUCGCGGCUUAUCAGCUUGCUUGUGUGGUAGUGGCUUACCAAGGUUUUGACGGGUAGCCUGCCUGAGAGGGGUGACGGCGACAUGGGGACUGAGGUAGGGAGCAGAAUCCUAUGGGAGGCAGUAGUGGGGAAUAUUGCAGAACGGGGGGAAGCCUGAGACAGCAACGCCGGGUGCGGGAUGACCGCCUUCGGGUUGUAAACCGCUUUCGACGGAGAUGAAGCGGGAGUGACGGUAAUGGGUAAAGAAGCAACGGCUAACUACGUG